ensembl:snoRNA SNORD22 Small nucleolar RNA SNORD22
UCCCAAUGAAGAAAUACGCACAUGUCUUACUUCCUGUCCUCGCCUCAGAGCCUGUAAAGGUGAACCCACUGGGGCUGGCUGGGGGAAGAGAGGAAAAUUGUUCCAGAAGGAACUGUCUGAGGGAU